CGCCUCUUGCUAAAAUAUAAGAGGUCCCGCCUGCCCAGUGAACUAAUUUAACGGCCGCGGUAUCUUGACCGUGCAAAGGUAGCAUAAUCAAUUGUUCUUUAAAUAAGGACUAGUAUGAACGGCACCACGAGGGUUUAACUGUCUCCCUAUUCUAAUCAAUGAAAUUGAUCUCCCCGUGAAGAAGCGGGGAUAUAACUAUAAGACGAAAAGACCCCAUGGAGCUUUAAACUUAUUUUCAAUUACCAAAACCCAAGACAUAUAUCCGGUAAAAAUGAUAAUCGUUUUCGGUUGGGGCGACCCUGGAGAAAAAUAAAUCCUCCAAGCUGAAUAGACUAAAAUCUAAUGUUAGAGAAACAACUCAAACAAUCAAAACCUUGACAAAAUGACCCAGAUUCUAUCUGAUCAACGAACCAAGUUACCCUGGGGAUAACAGCGCAAUCCAUUUCAAGAGCCCUUAUCGACAAAUGGGUUUACGACCUCGAUGUUGGAUCGGGAUAUCCUAGCAGCGCAGCCGUUGCUUAAGGUUCGUUUGUUCAACGAUUAAUAAUCC
rnacentral:rRNA from 1 species